rnacentral:rRNA from 1 species
CAAUAGCGUAUAUUAAAGUUGUUGCGGUUAAAAAGCUCGUAGUUGGAUUUCUGCCGAGGACGACCGGUCCGCCCUCUGGGUGUGUAUCUGGUUUGGCCUGGGCAUCUUCUUGGAGAACGUAGCUGCACUUGACUGUGUGGUGCGGUGUCCAGGACUUUUACUUUGAGGAAAUUAGAGUGUUCAAAGCAGGCCUCGGCCUCUGAAUACAUUAGCAUGGAAUAAUAAGAUAGGACUUUGGUGGUCUAUUUUGUUGGUUUGCACGCCAAAGUAAUGAUUAAUAGGGAUAGUUGGGGGUAUUCGUAUUCAAUUGUCAGAGGUGAAAUUCUUGGAUUUAUGGAAGACGAACUACUGCGAAAGCAUUUACCAAGGAUGUUUUCAUUAA